rnacentral:lncRNA from 1 species
UUUGUUGGGCCGGGUUCUGAGGCCUUGCUUCUCUUUACUUUUCCACUCUAGGCCACGAUGCCGCAGUACCAGACCUGGGAGGAGUUCAGCCGCGCUGCCGAGAAGCUUUACCUCGCUGACCCUAUGAAGGCACGUGUGGUUCUCAAAUAUAGGCAUUCUGAUGGGAACUUGUGUGUUAAAGUAACAGAUGAUUUAGUUUGUUUGGUGUAUAAAACAGACCAAGCUCAAGAUGUAAAGAAGAUUGAGAAAUUCCACAGUCAACUAAUGCGACUUAUGGUAGCCAAGGAAGCCCGCAAUGUUACCAUGGAAACUGAGUGAAUGGUUUGAAAUGAAGACUUUGUCGUGUACUUAGGAAGUAAAUAUCUUUUGAAUUAGAGAAAGUGUUGGGACAGAAAGUACUUUAUGUAACUAAAGUACCUGUUAAUAUAAGGGAUUUGUAGUAUCAGCUUGUUGAGCAAUGACUUUGAAUCUAGUUUUCAGUGAUCAGAAGCAGCAUUUAUUUGAGUGUAUGAAUGGAAUGAUGAUCACUGUGCUAUAAUGUACUGAAACCACCAUAUUACAGAAAUAUUUACUACAUAUUUUCCAUCUGUAGUUUCUCAGAAGGGCUAUGGAUUAGUUUGAACUGUCAAAUCCUUGCAUACUUCUGUGACACCCCUGCCCAUUUUCUGUCUUUAAUUAACCAAGGUGUUAGGUGUUACUGUCACAACUGUUAUGUUUUCCAGUAAACUAGAAGUACGAUAUUUGAUAAUUAUAUUUGUAUCCUAAAUUUCACCACCUAAAUGUAAUGUUGAUUCCUCAAGAAUGAAAUGAAGGCACUACAUUGAAAUAUGUUUUGUAUAAAUUUGUCAUGUUGAACAACAUUUUAGCAUGGUAAGUUCCCUUAGCUAUAUGAAUUUUGGCAUGUUUCAGAGAGAUCAGUAAAUAAAAUAUUAGAUAAAAUAUAAAAAAAAAAAAAAAAA